rnacentral:rRNA from 1 species
AAUAGAUACCCGGGUAGUCCACGCCGUAAACGUUGGGCGCUAGAUGUGGGGACCAUUCCACGGUUUCCGUGUCGCAGCUAACGCAUUAAGCGCCCCGCCUGGGGAGUACGGCCGCAAGGCUAAAACUCAAAGGAAUUGACGGGGGCCCGCACAAGCGGCGGAGCAUGCGGAUUAAUUCGAUGCAACGCGAAGAACCUUACCAAGGCUUGACAUAUACCUGAAAAGGCUGGAAACAGUCUCCCCGCAAGGCAGGUAUACAGGUGGUGCAUGGUUGUCGUCAGCUCGUGUCGUGAGAUGUUGGGUUAAGUCCCGCAACGAGCGCAACCCUCGUUCUAUGUUGCCAGCACGUCAUGGUGGGAACUCAUAGGAGACUGCCGGGGUCAACUCGGAGGAAGGUGGGGAUGACGUCAAAUCAUCAUGCCCCUUAUGUCUUGGGCUUCACGCAUGCUACAAUGGCCGGUACAAAGGGCUGCAAUACCGUAAGGUGGAGCGAAUCCCAAAAAGCCGGUCUCAGUUCGGAUUGAGGU